rnacentral:lncRNA from 1 species
CGGAGCUACAGCGUGGGGUUGUGAGGCUACGGGGCGUGGAGUGCUGGACCUGCCAACACCCAGGGUGCAUAUGGAACUGGUGUGGCCAGCUGGCAAGGUUAUGAAAACUACAAUUACUACGGCGCCCAGAACACCAGUGUCACCACAAGCGCAACCUACAGCUACGGCCCAGCCUCGUGGGAGGCCGCCAAGGCCAAUGAUGGCGGCCUGGCGGCCGGGGCCCCUGCCAUGCACAUGGCCUCUUACGGCCCAGAGCCAUGCACCGACAAUUCCGACUCCCUCAUUGCCAAGAUAAACCAGCG